rnacentral:lncRNA from 10 species
CCGAAGUAUUUUUUACAUCUGAGAGUCCAUUUAUGGGAAAUUUAAUAGGCUGAGAAAAUGGAUCGCCUGUAGGGAAAAUAAUUAUUCUCAUAAAAUACUGGUUAAAGGUAAGAACUACACUUAUGGGAAGGAUAGCAUUAAGGAAGUGUAGUAGUAUAGGUCUAAUUACUUGGAAAUAUCCAUGCAUACUAAACAAAAGAGAUCCCAGCAGAACAUUACUCAAGAUCAACGAUGUCACAUGUUAUCCAAAUAAUUACAUAAUACUUACAUUAUUAACUCAGUGGAAGCAUGUAAGUAAUAACUAGUGCAUUCAAUCCUUAUUAAAUAUCCAAACAUACAGUAUAUUCACAUAAAUAUAGAAAUGCUCUAAGCCAGGCAGUGUUAUCCUUGGGAUGUUUGUUAAUUACAUAUGCCUGAAAAAGUCUUGCAGGCUCAAAUAAGUUUGCCUAACUCAACUUAUUAACCUCACUUUAAGAAAUUUCCCUAAGUGUAGUAGUUAAGGCACUGAGAGAUCCUGUGCAAUGUGUUAAUGACUUUGCUCUCAUUUCCCCAAACUUAUUUAACCACAGAACUCUUUUUCACAACACGCCCAUUAACAUCUUUCAAAACUAUCAUUCUUGGUACAAUUUGGAAGAUGCUGCACUAAGGCAACAAAAGUCUCAAAGUAAAGUAUCAGUGCAAAAAAGAAUUCAAGUAAUGUCAACCUGCACUUCUCACCAACUAUAAAGAGGAGGUAAGUAUAUAUCCAAUAGUCUGGAGAAACAAGAUGAGACCAAAGCUGACUACAUAAUUACAAAUAAAUCAGUCUCAAAACUCCCAAAACACCCAUAAGCUUAUUAGUCUCAGGAAAACAUUCAUCCAAGCAAUGGAAAAGCUAUAUAAAUUUAAUAUUUCUACCUGUCUGUAAAAGAGUAUUGUAGUAAUCUCGCUGUAUGUGCUUCUUGCUGUUGAUGGGCGUGCUGCCAGAAAAGAAACAUUUAGGGAAUAUGCUAGAGAAGGGGUUCUCCAAGAUUGGCGAGAUCUGACUGUGAUGGCUGCAGACGACACACAUAGGAGAAUCUGAAGCCUUAUUCUGUAAGCUUUUUCUGUUUUUAAAAUUAUUUACUUAUUUUUACUUUGAAACUUUUUUGUUAAAAUCUAAGACACAAUCACACACAUUAGCCUAGGCCUACACAGGGUCAAGAUCAUCAAUUUCACUGUCUUUGACCUCCACAGCUUAUUCCGCUGGAAGGUCUGCAGGGAGCUGUCAUGUCCUCUGAUAACAAUGCCUUCUUCUGGAAUACCUCCUGAAGGACCCCUGGAGGCUGUUUCACAGUUAAAGUUUUUUCUUUUUAAUAAGCAGAAGGAAUACACUAAUGAUUAAAAGUAAAUAUAUAAACCAGUUACAUAGUCAUUUGUUAUCAUUACCAAGUAUUAUGUACUGCACAUAAUUGUAUGCACUGUACUUUUAUAUAACUGGCAGCACACUAGGUUUGUUUACACCAGCAUCACCACAAACACAUGAGUAAUGCAUUCCACUACAGCUACAACAUCAACUGCCAAUAGCAAUUUUUCAGCUCCAUUAUAAUGUCAUGAGACCAUCAUGGUAUAGACAGUCAGUCAUUUACGAGGUCCUUCGUUAACCAAAAUGUCCUUAUGUGGUACAUGACUCUCUAUGCACGUGUAAACAUAUAUCUGUGUGUCUUUUUGCAAGCUUAAAAAAAAAGUAUGAAAGGAUUCCCACUGAAAAUCCCCCCGAGAAGUUCAGAAAGAGAAAUUAACUUUUUAUUUAUACUUCUUUAUAUCAUUUGACUGAAUAUGACCCUCCUACAUUACUUAUAUAAUACUAAAAAUCUAAAAAAAUGACACACAAAAAGUUAGACCUUUUAAUAAUUCUUACCUUCUAGAGAAAGGUCAGUAUUUUUAGUAAAACUUGGGGCAGUGCGUUUGAAGAUCUUGGUUCGUUCUCCUCCCACAACCACCUCUGGUCCAAGCAGAGAGACCAGCACUGCUAGGCUAUGCAGAGUAAUUGCCACAAUGGAAUCGCUAGUAUCACGCAGGCCCAGCAAAACCUAGGAGCAAAUGAGGUAAUAAGGGUUGACAACCACAAUACCUAUCUCUUUCUUCCCCUGUAAAUGAGCAAUUGGGCUGCAAACAGAUUGUGCUUAGAUAAACUACAUUAUCUUAGAUAUGUGUUCCAGGUCAGUGGCUCUCAAACUACCUGUGGUAAAAGACCAGUAUCUUCCCCUCCCAAUCCAUCACAGACUUACCAUUUUUAAAAAAUACAAUCAAAACAAAAUUAAAAAGACAUAUGUUGGGUACAUAAAAUUACUCUGUCAAAUUGCGACAAAAGGUUUUAAAUGUUAAGUCUUCAUAUCUGUACUCACAUCACAGAACUGUAAUAAAAAGUUCAUGUACUGGCAGUGUUCUGCAGAGCGCACUCAGAACUCAUCUAGGGUACUAACAGUUAUGUUCCUGUCCAUGCUUCUCUUUUCAGCUCUUUUCAAGGGUAGGACCACCUGUCCCAAACUGAGCCCAUCAUGAUCUUUUGUCCAGUAAUAUAAACUAGAAUUUAUAUUUUCAGUUUAUAUAGGUUUACUCAAUGAGGACAGUAUGCCAGGCAGGGACAAGUGCCUGUAGCCCGAGCUACUCAGAAGGCUGAGGCAUGUGGAUCACUUGAGCCCAGGAGUUCUGGGCUGUAGUGUGCUAUGCUGAUUGGGUGUCUGCACUAAAUUCAGCAUCAAUAUAGUAACCUCCCAGGAGCUGGGGACUACCAGGUUGCCUAAAGAGGGGUGAACCAGCCCAGGUUGGAAAUGGAGCAGGUCAAACUCCUGGGCUGAUCGGUAGUGGGUUCAUGCCUGUGAAGAGCCACUGCACUCUAGCUUGGGCAACACAGUGAGACCCCCAUCUCUAAAAUAAUUUUUUUUUAUGAGGACAGAAAACUUGGAAGUUAUGGGACAACCAUUUUGGCCAUGUGCACACCAAAACAAGGAAAGCUGGUCUUCAGAGAGUCAAAAGUCAAACAAAUGCAGACAGAAGAAAGGAAUGAAAAACAUGGCUGUAAGCCCCAGCUGCACUUGAUUUCCAUCUAAGUUAGUCUAACAUUCUUAAAUUUUUUUUGCUUUGGCUGGUUUAAAAUGAGUUUCAGUUACUUGCAACCAAAAACACCUUAGAAGACAGUCACAUGCAGAUAUCAGGCAAGUACUGCUCUGCAUAUAAGGAAGGAAAUGACCUUCAAAGCAUCUGCACCAGCCAGACACAAGGCCAGGGUAACUGGCCUGCCUACUGGAAGCAGCAGGGCGUGACAGGUAUCAGGAAUCUUUGGUUUUGGUCUUAGCUCUGCUAAUAAUUCUCAAUGUGACUUGACCAAUUGGUCUUUUUAUUUUUCUGGCCUGGUUUCCUCAUUUAUAUAGUAAGAUUAAAGGUUUCCAACAGGACUCAAAAGAUAAUUAUUAGGACCAAUGCUAACAGAUCACUUUCUGUACAUGUAAACUAAAGCAUGUUUCUUUUACAUAUGAUUAGAGUUCUGCCCACUGAAUAUGAUAAUCAUAAAACAGCAAUCCGCCCAAGCCAAAAAUUGGUCAUCCUCAACACCUCUUCCAUCUAAUGAGAAACUGAGUACUACCCCUUCUGUGUCCCUCUACUAUAUCCACUGUCACACUUUCCCCAGCCUUUGUCAUCUCUUAGCUAAACUAUUCUAACAGCUUCCUAGCUUAUCUCCCUUUCUGUGGUCUCUUCCACACUGCUACCAAAGUGAACUUUCUAGCACACACAAAUUGGCCCACUCUUCUUUAGGGGAAGCAGUUUCCUAAGUAAUGAGAGGUUUCAUUGUCUUCCACAUGCUCAACAUUUACUCUUUGACCUCAGUCCAAUUCUGAGACCUAUGAUGACAACUCCAUUUCAGAGUUAAAGUGCUUCAUUCCUCUUCUAAAUUUCCAGACACAACUACAUACAGGGUAACAAUUACUGCUGCAGAUGUAAAUACAAAGUGCUAUGUUGUAGUUACUACAACACAGAGACUUUAAAGUCAGCCCCCAGCGAAUCACACCUCCAGUAUCCAUGCCCUUGAGUAAACCCAUCCCACAAUGAGCCUGGGCUUUUUCCAACUCUAACCGAGAGAAUGAGGCAAAAAUGACUGUCAGUUCACAACCUACACUUUAAGAAGGCUUCUUUUGCCCUUUUUUUUUCUUUAGCCCUGGCCAGCCAUUUAAGAAGUCCACCUGCCUUGCUAGAGAAAUCAUGUGGAAAUGUCACAUGGGGGGAUACAAGCCCCCCAAGCUUCCUGAAAAUUCAUGGAGAGAAAGGCGCAGCCUCUCAGCCACCCCUUCCAAGAUACCAAGGAGCCAUUUUGGAUGUGUCAACCCUUGUCGGGCCCCAGAUGACUGAAGACUCAGCUGAUAUGUGGAACAGAACCUUCAGCUGAGUCCAGUCAAUCCAAAGAAUCAUGAGAAUUAAUAAAAUGAUUAUUAUUUUAAGGCACUAAGUUUUGGGGUACUUACAUGGCAACGGAUGACUGAAACAUGUCCCACUUAUGAGCUCCUUGAAAGCAGAGAGAAUGUUAAUCUAUCUCAUAGGAAAAUUAUUUGAAAGACACCAUGUGAUUGUAGUCUUUUAAAACAAUUUUUUUAAAACCUCAUACUAGGUUGAAUAGUGUCCCUCCAAAAUUCAUGUCCAUGCAGAAUGUGACCUUUAGAUGAGGUCAUACUGGGUUAGGGUAGGCCAUAAAUUCAAUGACUGGUGUCUUUCUAAGAGGCCAUGUAAAGACAGACAAGGAGGUAAGAAGGCCACGUGACAACAGAAGCAGAGACUGGAAUGAUACAGCCACAAGCCAAGAAAUACCAAGGAUUGCUGGGAGCUACGAGAAGCUUGUAAAGAGGAGUCCCUUUCACAUCCUACAGCCUUCAGAGGAAGCAGGGUCCUGUUGACACCCUGGUUUUAGACUUCUGGCCUCCAGAACUAAAAAUAAAUUUGUAUUGCUUUAAGCCAUUAUAAUUUGUGAUAAUUUGUUAUGGCAGCCUAAGCAACUAAUACAAACCUUUCAUUAGUUUCACUAACAAAACCCUUUGGUGGGCAAAUCAUAAUAAGGUUCCCUAGUGGCUGAUAACAACAGGCUGAAAGCCACUGAUAAGAAUCAUCUCAUGCUCCUCUCUGUUCUAAUUUAAUUACUUUAUAAUAAUUAUGGAUAAUUAUAUGUUAUGUUCACAAAGUGCUCCAUACAUUAUUGUUAUUCAUUUACCCUCCCAAAAUUAACAAACAAUUAUAGUUUCUCCCAGGUUAAGACCAAAUAUGUCAGUUUAAUCAAUUUGCCUGUGUGAAUGGAAUGGAAAUGCAAUUUUAAUUUCAGCACUUUGUAUUCCACAGACUGCUGCCUGAAGGCUUUCUAAGCUAUUAUCUGAAUACCUCCAAAACUCUUUCUUUCAGCACUCUUCCCUCAGGUUCUGUGACUACCCCACUGCAAACUUGGCCUCUGACCUGUGGCAAGAUGACUUUCUUCAGCUGCUCCUGAGUGAAGUGCUCCACGUAGGCCUCGAUGUGAGACAGCAGCACCAUCCGCACAUGCUCUUCAUGAACUUCAAACAACUGGAGAAGCACGGGGAUCACCCGUGACUGGAACAGGGCUGGUGAGACGUGCCUUUUGCCUUCUGCCAUGAUUUUAAGGAACUCCCCAGCCACGUGGAACUUUUGUAAAUUGCCCAGUCUUGGGUAUGUCUUCAUCAGCAGCGUGAAAACAGAGUAAUACAGUAAAUUGGUACCAGUAGAGUGGGGCGUUGCUGAAAAGAUACCUGAAAAUAUGGAAGGGACUUUGGAACUGGGUAACUGGCAAAGGCUGGAACAGUUUGGAGGGUUCAGAAGAAGACAGGAAAAUGUGGGAAAGUUUGGAAUUUCCUAGAGACUUGUUGAAUGGCUUUGACAAAAAUGCUGCUAGUGAUAUGAACAAUAAGGUCCAGGCUGAGGUGGUCUCAGAUGGAGAUGAGGAACUUGUUGGGAACUGGGGCAAAGGUGACUCUUGUUAUGUUUUAGCAGAGACUGGUGGCAUUUUGCCCCUGCCCUAAAGAACUGUGGAACUUUGAACUUAAGAGAGGAUUUAGGGUAUCUGGCGGAAGAAAUUUCUAAGCAGCAGAGCAUUCAAGAGGUGACUUGGGUGCUGUUAAAGGCAUUCAGUUUUAAAAGGAAAACAGAGCAUAAAAGCUUGGGAAGUUUGCAGCCUGACAAUGCAAUAGAAAAGAAAAUCUCAGGUGACAUUCAAGGCAGCUGCAGAAGUUUGCAUAAGUAAUGAGGGGCCAAAUGUUAAUCCCCAAGAAAAUGGGGAAAAUGUCUCCAGGGCAUGUCAGAGAUCUUCAUGGCAGCCCCUCCCAUCACAGGCCUGCAGGCCUAGGAGGAAAAAGUGGUUUCAUGGGCGAGGCCCAGGGUCCCCAUGCUGUGUGAAGCCUAGGGACUUGGUGCCCUGCAUCUCAGCCGCUCUAGCCAUGGCAGAAAGGGGCCAACGUAGAGCUCAGCAUGUGGCUUCAGAGGGUGCAAGCCCCAAGCCUUGGCAGCUUCACAUGGUGUUGAGCCUGCAAGUGCACAUUAGUCAAGAACUGGGGUUUGGGAACCUCCACCUAGAUUUCAGAAGAUGUAUGGAAAUGCCUGGAUGCCCAGGCAGAAUUUGCUGCAUGGGCAGGGCCCUUAUGGAGAACCUCUACUAGGGCAGUGUGAAAAGGAAAUGUGAGGUCGGUGCCCCCACACAGAGUUCCUACUGGAGCACUGCCUAAUGGAGCUGUGAGAAGGAGGCCAGCAUCCUCCAGAUCCCAGAAUGGUAGAUCCACUGACAGCUUGCACCACGUGCCUGGAAAAGCUGCAGACAUUCAAGACCAGCCUGUGAAAGCAGCCAGGAGGGAAACUGUACCCUGCAGAGCCACAGGGGUAGAAGCUGCCCAAGACCAUGGGAACCCACCGCUUGCAUCAGCGUGACCCGGAUGCGAGACACGGAAUCAAAGGAGAUCAUUUUGGAGCUUUAAGAUUUGACUGCCUCACUGGAUUUCACACUUGCCUGUAGCCCCUUUGUUUAGCUAAUUUCUCCCAUUUGGAAUGGCCGUAUUUACCCAAUGCCUGUACCCCCAUUGUAUCUAGGAAGUAACUAACUUGCUUCUGAUUUUACAGGCUCAUAGGUGGAAGGGACUUGCCUCAUCUCAGAUGAGACAUUGGACUAUGGACUUUUGAGUUAAUGCUGAAAUGAGUGAAGACUUUGGGGGACUGUUGAGAAGACAUGACUGGUUUUGAAAUGUGAGGACAUGAGACUGGGGAGGGGCCAGGGGAGGAAUGAUGUGGUUUGGCUGUGACUCUCAUCUUGGAUUGUAACUCCCACAAUUCCCAUGUGUCAUGGGCAGGAAUUCAGUGGGAGGUGAUUGAAUUAUGGAGGUAGAUCUCUCCUGUGCUGUUCUGGUAAUAGUGAGUAGGUCUCACAAGACCUGAUGGUUUUAUAAAAGGGAAUUUUCCUGCACAAGCUCUCUUCUCUUGUCUGCUGCCAUGUGAGAAGUGCCUUUCACCUUCCGCCAUGAUUGUGAGGCCUCCCCAGCCACAUGGAACUGUUAGUCCAAUAAACCUCUUUCUUUUGUAAAUUG